CGUUAAGGCGAUACGUCAAAGAACUUAUAUUCACAAAUAUAUUUUGUUUCCAAUUUAGUUAACACAGUUUAUGUACUAAAUUAUUUGCAGUUGAUUUUAUCACAAUUUUUCAGGCAUACCCCAAGUACGAAUUUGAAUAUGCAGUGUCUGAUCAUAAAACUGGUGAUCACAAACAUCACCAUGAAGAGCGUGAUGGCCACCGAGUGAGAGGGGAGUACAGCCUGGUAGAAGCUGAUGGUUCAUUGAGAGAAGUUCACUACAACGCUGAUGAUUUUAAUGGUUUCAAUGCCGUUGUAAGCAAAAGUUUUAACAAACAUGGUGACCGAGCUUAUUCGGUCAUUGGACACACGCGUCAGUUCCUCCCAACUGGUCAUGGUAUAAAAAUUAACCAAUUCUUCCCAAAUAAGGAUCACAAGCACCAGGAACCCCUAACUGAAAAUGAUGACAGCAUUGAAAAAAAACCCGUACAGGAAGCUGUAGAAACAGCUCCAAUAAAUGAAAAACCCGAAAUCAAAGUAGUUCACGAAGAACCAGCAGUAGAAUUCCAUUCCAUUAAACAAACAGAAUCCCCAAUCGUAAAAAUGGAAAUUGUAGAAGGACCAUCUUUUGAAGUAGCGCCAACAAUUUCCAAUGAAGAAAGUAACAAAAAGCCAGCAAAUGAAGCUACUGAACCUGCUCCAGAAAAGAAAGAUCAGUUAAGUGAAAUUAUCAAACAUGAUGGUGAAAAGGUUCACAGCGUAGAUCACCAACAGGAUUCUGAUGUGGCAUCAUCUUAUUAUCAUUCCAAAGUCUAUUACGUUGGCUUUUAAUUUUAUAUGUUAUGCUAAUAAUAUUCAUUGUUUUGGAUUAAAACUAUUUAUUCGUUGUUAAA